GACGAACGCUGGCGGCGUGCUUAACACAUGCAAGUCGAACGAUGAACCGGAGCUUGCUCUGGGGAUUAGUGGCGAACGGGUGAGUAACACGUGGGCAACCUGCCCCAGACACCGGGAUAACCAUUCGAAAGGAUGGCUGAUACCGGAUACGACCACUUCGGGCAUCCGAUGGUGGUGGAAAGGAUUCUGGUCUGGGAUGGGCCCGCGGCCUAUCAGCUUGUUGGUGGGGUAAUGGCCUACCAAGGCGACGACGGGUAGCCGGCCUGAGAGGGCGACCGGCCACACUGGGACUGAGACACGGUCCAGACUCCUACGGGAGGCAGCAGUGGGGAAUAUUGCGCAAUGGGCGAAAGCCUGACGCAGCGACGCCGCGUGAGGGACGAAGGUCUUCGGAUUGUAAACCUCUUUCAGCAGGGAUGAAGCGAAAGUGACAGUACCUGCAGAAGAAGCACCGGCUAACUACGUGCCAGCCGCCGCAGUAAGAC
rnacentral:rRNA from 1 species